rnacentral:rRNA from 1 species
UACGAGGGGGGCAAGCGUUGUUCGGAAUUACUGGGUGUAAAGGGUUCGUAGGCGGUGCGGCAAGUUGGGAGUGAAAUCUCUGGGCUCAACCCAGAGACGGCUUCCAAAACUGCCGUGCUUGAGUGUGAGAGAGGCUCGUGGAAUUGCAGGUGUGGCUGUGAAAUGCGUAGAUAUCUGCAGGAACACCCGUGGCGAAAGCGGCGAGCUGGAUCACUACUGACGCUGAAGAACGAAAGCUAGGGGAG